rnacentral:pre_miRNA from 1 species
UGUGGUGAUAUUCAAAAUAUACAUUUUAUUUUUGGCAAUCAUUUUUCUUUUAUAAAUUCAAAAGUUAUUUUUCUUUCUAAAAACACAAUAAUAUAUAUAUAUAUAUAUAACCAACCUUUUAAUUUUUAAAAAGAAAAAUGAAUUUAUAAGAAAAAUGAUUGCCAAAAAGAAAAUGUAUAUUUUGUUAUAUUACCAAAA